rnacentral:rRNA from 1 species
UGUGGAUCAGUGGCGAACGGGUGAGUAACACGUGAGCAACCUGCCCCUGACUCUGGGAUAAGCGCUGGAAACGGCGUCUAAUACUGGAUAUGAGACGUGACCGCAUGGUCAGCGUUUGGAAAGAUUUUUCGGUUGGGGAUGGGCUCGCGGCCUAUCAGCUUGUUGGUGAGGUAAUGGCUCACCAAGGCGUCGACGGGUAGCCGGCCUGAGA